UAUACAUUAUGUUAAUAAACAUAAAGAACACAAUUACAAGACCCAGACAUAAAAAAAGAAUGCUUUUCAUAUAUCAGGCCAUUUGAUCAGAGACUGAAAUUCAUGGAAUUGCAUUGACCAAUCACAGAAUUUAUUAAUUACAUCAUUGUUGUAAAUACAAAUGGUCUUAAGUCAAGGAAGUUGUAAAUCAAGGACUAUUGGUAUUUAUGAUAACCACUAUCAAUGAUUUUACAAUCACUCAAACUGAUUGAGUAUAUCAAAGUUCAUUUUCUGGAUUGACAAAAGUGAUCUGCUUCAUCUUACUAAAUAUGAGGCCAUCAUCUUCCAGAUAAUAUUUUUUAUAAUAUUCCACAGUUUUAUGCCAGAAUUAUAAACUUUAUUCACUUAAAUAGAUUCAGAAUAAUGAAUGUGCCAAAUCAUUCCAAUCUUGCUGCCAAAAUUUUUAAUCAUAAAUUUUAAUUUUUCUAGUAUCCUUACUUUGUUCUUCCACAUUUAUGUAUAUAUUAAUAUUUAUUUCUCUUUAUGUUUUCAUAUAUUUUAUGUAAUGAGAGCUACCCACAUUGUUUUUGGGUGAUGAAGAUUGAAUGAAUAAAUAAAGAUGAUUAGAUGGUCACUUGGAAGCAUGUUGUGCUUCUGCUUUGGAGGAUUCUUGUUUAAUUCAGAGUUCCAUGCCUUUAGAAUUUUUAGGAGGGAAUUUUGGUUCAAUUUGCCCAUUCAUGUUUUGCUUGACUGUCACUUUUAUGAAUUCAUUCAAGUUGAAAAAAAUUAUUUCAAGCUUAGAAAAGAUUUAUUUAUUUUUAUUUAUAUGUUGUUUUUUGCUGCUUUUCAACACGAGGUUACUAUUAGUGAAGUAUUCUAAUGCCCACUAUAGGCUAUCUAUACUUGUGGUGAGGUCAGUCAUCAAAUGAAGGAUGAGGUUCAAUAGAAGGCCUGAACUCCUGAAAAAAUCUGAAGAUAUGAAACCCAGAACAUUCAGGAUCUAAGCUAGAAUUCAAACCUCAAAAAAUUUUCUUGACUUUGGCCUUGGUUUCAAUUUCCUUAUAAUAGUAAAGUUUUGCUGAUUUUACACAAAUAUGAACAGAUCAUAAUUAGGCUUUGAAAGGAAAAUUAUUUUUGCUACAAAUUUGAGAAGUAAAUGCAGCUUAUAGUCUACUUUUUGUAAACUAGUAUUAAAAGAUUGCACAAAUUAAAAUACUAUUCAAAUAAAGUGUUUUCUGAAAUCGAG
rnacentral:lncRNA from 1 species